GAAAUGCGAUAAGUAAUGUGAAUUGCAGAAUUCCGUGAAUCAUCGAAUCUUUGAACGCACAUUGCGCCCUCUGGUAUUCCGGGGGCAUGCCUGUCCGAGCGUCAUUGCGAACCCCUCAAGCACGGCUUGUGUGAUGGGCCCUCCAGCGUCUUGGUCGUCAAGACGGGCCCGAAAUGCAGUGGCGGCUUCGCGGUUAUCCGAUCAGCCAGAGCGUAUGGGGACUCUCUCUCUUGUCACACGCCCGCGGCGCGGACCGACGCCUGUCGACCUUUAUUCAUCUUCUCUCGGUUGACCUCGGAUCAGGUAGGGAUACCCGCUGAACUUAAGC
rnacentral:misc_RNA from 1 species